rnacentral:rRNA from 2 species
UUCGCAAUGCCCGAAAGGGUGACGAAGCGACGCCGCGUGGGUGAGGAAGGCCUUCGGGUUGUAAAGCCCUGUCAGGAGUUAAGAAAUAUAAGUGCGCUAAUAUCGCAUUUAUUUGACGAAGGCUCCAGAGGAAGCCACGGCUAACUCUGUGCCAGCAGCCGCGGUAAUACAGAGGUGGCAAGCGUUGUUCGGAAUUAUUGGGCGUAAAGAGCACGUAGGUGGGUUUGUAAGUCAGAUGUGAAAGCCUUCUGUUCAACGGAAGAAUUGCAUCUGAAACUGCAAGUCUUGAGUGUAGGAGGGGAGAAUGGAACUUCUGGUGGAGCGGUGAAAUGCGUAGAUAUCAGAAGGAACGCCGGCGGCGAAAGCGAUUCUCUGGCCUAUUACUGACACUCAGUGUGCGAAAGCUAGGGGAGCAAACGGGAUUAGAUACCCCGGUAGUCCUAGCUGUAAACGAUGGGCACUAAGUAGAGGGGUUUU